UCUACAGUAUGAGGGUUUUGAGGGACUGAGGCAGACGAACUCUCGAAACCGCUAGAGGCAGAGGUGCCAGAAGACAUUUCAAGUAAGAACCCUAAAAAUCCCGAAGAGAUCAGGCGAAAUAAGAAGCGAAAGGUUCGUGGGGGACGAAACAAGUGGAAUGCGGCAGAAGAAAAAUGGAGAAGAAGGAGCACCUAGAUGGCA
rnacentral:lncRNA from 1 species